rnacentral:ncRNA from 1 species
GAGUGUCUCAUAAGAAUAGAGUAAACAUUUCUCGAAUUCCAUGGACUUGAUCAUGCCUAUAUUUGAGGGCCAUUCGAUCAUGUCAUAAGAUUUUCCAAAAAUCAAUCUCAAUGAAGAUGGUGUUGAAAUCAAGGAAACAUUUUAGGGAAUUCCAUAACUUUUUCCUCUUCAAGAAAUAUCACAGAAAACCUUCCAUCCAAAGUCAACAAAAUUGAAACCCAUUUUUGAGAGUUGUUGGUGCCUCAUCCUAUAACUGACGAAAAUGUUAGGAAAUCCAGAGACAUCGUCGAGGGCCCCGGGAAGAGUUAUAUUUUAUUGUUAAUAGCUUUCCCACCCUGAAAUCGGCUCAACCAAAGAUAGGGUCCAGCAGCUGGAAGAUCAUCACACGUCUUGCGGUGUUCGGUGCACCCUCGAUGACCCUUGAAAAUCUGGAGGACCCAGUACCAUCCAUGCCCGGUCGUACUCAUAACCACAUCAAGUCUCCAAGGUGAACAACCUUUUGUCAAUAGAACAAUGUAGGUAAGGGAAGUCAUCAAAACAGAUUCGUAACUUUGGGAAAAGGAUU